UAUCAAUGCAUUUCAUUCAGAAGAAAAUUCAGAUGUUCUUGUGACAAAAAGCUUCUCAGAAGGUAAUGUGGUUGCACCACCAGAACCAAAGCAGAAGGAAGACAAAGAUGAUUUUCAAGAGCCUGAAGUUGGGCACAAAAGCAAAAUGGAGACUAAAACUUCCAAAAGACAUGUUGGGGAAAGACUUCAUGAGAUC